CUCCAGUAAUGUUCUCUCCCGCCCGAUUUGAUGAGGUUAUUUUUCACGAGUGUUUUUCCCUCCCUCCUGGGUGCACCCCCCUAAGAAGAGGGGGUGUUGGGCAAGAAGUCUUUCCGACUCCCGCCCUCCGCGCCACAGUCGGGUCGGAGAGCGCCGGAGGAUAACCACACUCUGAUUUAAGGAGGUUUUUUUUGAGUGGUACAAGCAAAUAAUCAAAACUUUUAACAACGGAUCUCUUGGUUCUGGCAUCGAUGAAGAACGCAGCGAAAUGCGAUAAGUAAUGUGAAUUGCAGAAUUCAGUGAAUCAUCGAAUCUUUGAACGCACAUUGCGCCCGCCAGCAUUCUGGCGGGCAUGCCUGUUCGAGCGUCAUUUCAACCCUCAAGCUCUGCUUGGUGUUGGGGCCCUACAGCUGAUGUAGGCCCUCAAAGGUAGUGGCGGACCCUCCCGGAGCCUCCUUUGCGUAGUAACUUUACGUCUCGCACUGGGAUCCGGAGGGACUCUUGCCGUAAAACCCCCAAUUCUCCAAAGGUUGACGCUCGGAUCAGUCAGGAAGGCCCGCUGAAGUGA
rnacentral:rRNA from 1 species